rnacentral:rRNA from 1 species
GUACACGCUGUGACUAGCAUAUCAAUAAGCGGAGGAAAAGAAACUAACAAGGAUUCCCCUAGUAACGGCGAGUGAAGCGGGAAGAGCUCAAAUUUGAAAUCUUAAAGGGUUUCCCUUUACGAAUUGUAGUUUAAAGAAGUGUUUUCUGUUGAGGUUUUGGUAAAAGUUCUUUGGAAUAGGACAUCAUAGAGGGCGAGAAUCCCGUAUUUGACCUUUACUUUCAACUUUGUGAUACACUUUCAAAGAGUCGGAUUGUUUGGGAAUGCAGUCCAAAAUGGGUGGUAAAUUUCAUCUAAAGCUAAAUAUUGGCGAGAGACCGAUAGCGAACAAGUACCGUGAGGGAAAGAUGAAAAGAACUUUGAAAAGAGAGUUAAACAGUACGUGAAAUUGUCAAAAGGGAAGCGUUUGACACCAGUGUUGUUUUUCUGAAAAUCAAUUAAAGAACUGUUUAUGCUAAGUUGUUUAGACUUUAUCAGCUAACUGUUUAGUUUUGAGCUUUUCUUUAAUGCACUUUUCAGUUAACAAGUCAACAUCAAUUUCUUUUGCUGUAAAAAAGCUUGAGGAAGGUGGCUUGAGAUUCGUCUUAAGUGUUUAUAGCCUCUUGCCUAUGCAGUCGGAGAGAUUGAGGUCUGCAGCGUAGAUCCUUCGGGGCUAAAUGCAUUUGUGCUAAGUUAUAGCAUUUUAUAGACAACUUGUUGACUAUGAUUUGUCUUGUAGCUUACUCGCUUAUGUUAUUUUACCUACGCUUAGGAUGUUGACUGAUAUGUAGUCGUA